ACAGAGACUCGAGCUAAUUGAAUCUAUCAUAUGAUCGAUGAUGAGGUUUGAUGAUUUAUCCAUGACCUACCAUCUGAUCGGGACUCACAACAGAGGGAUUGUAUCAUACGUUAACUGCACCUAGAGGUUCAUCAUCUUUUAUUCUACUGGAUUAUAACUAUAUACUGCUAAGUGUCGCUGAUGAAUUGUGAGACCUACAGACGUCAUCUCGAUGAUCGAUGAUCUUUGAUGGGCA
rnacentral:lncRNA from 1 species